CGCGUAGGCGGGGAGGUAAGUCGGGUGUGAAAUCCCUCGGCCCAACCGAGGAACUGCGCCCGAAACUGCUUCUCUUGAGUCCCGGAGAGGAAGAUGGAAUUCCCGGUGUAGCGGUGAAAUGUGUAGAGAUCGGGAGGAACACCGGUGGCGAAGGCGGUCUUCUGGACAGUGACUGACGCUGAGGCGCGAAAGCGUGGGGAGCAAACGG
rnacentral:rRNA from 1 species